rnacentral:rRNA from 1 species
GAUGAACGCUGGCGGCGUGCUUAACACAUGCCAGUCGAACGAUGAAGCCCAGCUUGCUGGGUGGAUUAGUGGCGAACGGGUGAGUAACACGUGAGUAACCUGCCCUUAACUCUGGGAUAAGCCUGGGAAACUGGGUCUAAUACCGGAUAGGAGCGUCCACCGCAUGGUGGGUGUUGGAAAGAUUUAUCGGUUUUGGAUGGACUCGCGGCCUAUCAGCUUGUUGGUGAGGUAAUGGCUCACCAAGGCGACGACGGGUAGCCGGCCUGAGAGGGUGACCGGCCACACUGGGACUGAGACACGGCCCAGACUCCUACGGGAGGCAGCAGUGGGGAAUAUUGCACAAUGGGCGCAAGCCUGAUGCAGCGACGCCGCGUGAGGGAUUACGGCCUUCGGGUUGUAAACCUCUUUCAGUAGGGAAGAAGCGAAAGUGACGGUACCUGCAGAAGAAGCACCGGCUAACUACGUG